GUUGUUGUGUCAUUCACAGUCCAGUCGUCAAACCCGUCAUCUCCUGCUCAACCCCACCUCACCAGCCCGCUCAAGACUGCAAUCGAAGGUCGUCGUCAAUCCGUGCGUUAUCAAGCAAUCUCAAGAAUCGGGUGAAGACGAAGUUAGCAGCGCGAUAUUCCCCAAGCGCUCGACAAAUUGCAUGGGUCGGGAAAUCGCUACCAAUCUCGUGGAUUCGUGUCAGCUGUUAAAACGGUAAGCUGAUAAAUUAUUCAAAAUAGUUCGAUCGUUGAAUAAAUUAAUGUGCUAGUGCGAGGCGCAUUAAGGUGCUCGGUAAAUUGCGUGAGUCACGGAACUCUCGUGACUUCGCGGUCUUUGCAAUUAUCAAGCCAGGUUCAGUAUGGCGAGUUAUUUCGCUAUUCGAGUCAAUUAGCUGAACUAGUGUACCGAGUAGAAUUUUAGUAGGCAUGUGUGUUGUUGAAAUAUUUUAAUCACUUAUAAAGAUGUAGUAUAAUUUAUAAAGCAAGGGAUAAGUUUAGAACUUAAUUAAUUAAUUGAUAAGUUGUGUUUAGGCUAGUUGUAUUAAUGUGUAUAGUUUGUUGUUUCGUGAUGCUUACGUUAGGUUCGUUUAAUUUAGAGAAACGUAAAUAUUGCGCUUAGUCGUAGGUCGAUAACCAGAAUUAUCGUAUAAAAUUAUACAACGCCUCGCCGCUAGGUGUUUAAAUUCGCUAUCACGUAACACUAUUUAGGUUUAUAAUAUUUUCGUCGAUAUGCAUUCAUGUGCAUAAUGCAUUUCAUUCAGGUACGUUAAUUAAUCGCGUGUUGAGGAAGACGAGCCAAGCCGACCCCAAGUGUGGACUAAUCCGCAGGAUGAUGCUGAUGAACAAACCUGAAGAUGAUCGCCGAGUGGACGUCAUCUAACAAACACUAACGUAGUGUUUAUUCCAGGCAAGCCCCGGUGCAUGCAACCCCUUCCUUGUGUUUUCAAAUAAUUUUCGCACACUUUAAGUCUAGUGAAAUGUGCAUUAGGUUUAUAGGAGUUGCUUGGAACCCUUUGAUGCAUUGCCUUCCUUGAUAUCCAUACCUUUAUAGAUACUUCUGAUGAAGUAUCAAAAUAUGAUUUACAAAAUUGCUUAGCCUUGCUUAGAGGUAAAUCUUGUGGAUAGAGCUUGUCCUUUGCGUUGAUGCCUAGCUCAGGGGUUAUCCUGAGGAAGGAUGGCUUCUGCCUGCAAGAAUAUUUUUAUUGGGAGCAAUGGUGGGAUCUUACUGCAAAAGUUCCCUGUGAUGCUCUUUUCAUCCUAAGGAACACAAACAAUCCUAAGGAUGGAAGUACUUAAAUCGGAACUUGGGCUAGGAACAGGUGAUGUUCUACCCAGGUUGAUUAAGGAUUGGAUGCGUAUGUAGGCUUGAUGAUCGAGGACCCUUUAACUGGUCACAUGCCUCGUCAUGGGUAAGCCUUGCCUCGGGCAGACUAAGGCCAGAAUAAGAUAACACGAAAUGGGCGUGGAGCGGUGGCGAGAGUAGCGUGUACCCUCCGUGGCAAGAGGCUGGACGGUGGUGUAUCUGUGCUCUCGAUUUGCGUGAACCUGAUCUGGUCUUAAGAACCCCGGUGGCGGGUUGACAUAUGCAAGGGUUAAGUGCUACAUAUGUCGUGUGAUUGGAGAUCCUCAGCUGAGUAUAAUCGAUUCGGAUCGCCGUACCUUCGCGGUUAUGAAGACUUGGUCACUGACCUACAACCUAAGUCAGGAUGUGAACAUUAUGAAUAAAAAUGACGUUGUAUUGAUGAGAUGGUAAAAUUAGACCAGAUGCAAACAGAGUCUAUUAAUAUUUAAUCUGGCGUUAAAAUAUUGAAAGUAAGGACUCACUUUAGUAAGCUAUUUCUGCAAAAGUAUCUAAGUUGAUUCUUGCUAAAGCCUCUCCUUGAUUCCCAAAUCCAGCAUAUCCUUGAGAGUCUUUUCUUUAGUCGGGUAAGUCUUGCUGAGUAAUUCCAUACUCAGGGUUUUAUUCCCUGUUGUUUUUCAGGUUAUAGUUUUGUGCUGCUGUUGAUGGUGUUAAGUGCCGGUGGGCUCGGCCUUCUUAUAAGUCUAAGUACUUCUUCUAUACUUCUUAAUGAGGAUGGUCACUUGAGCUAGCAUAUAUUUCAAACUUAUACUUUUGUAAUCACUCCG
rnacentral:lncRNA from 1 species